CUGGCUCCGUGUGUGACGAGUGGGAGAGGGGUGUGUAGUGUGGGGAGCUCUGCGAGAUAGGGGGGGAUAACCUGUGGAAAGGGGGGCUAAUACCGCAUAACCUCACAAGACCAAAGGGGGGGCCCUUCGGGUCUCUCUCUAUCGGAUGACCCCAUAUGGUAUUAUCUAGUGCGCGGGGUAGUGGCCCCCCUGCGACAAUAUCCCUAUGUGGUCAGAGAAGAACACCCCCCACUGUGGAUCUGACACACGGCCCACACUCCCAGGGGAGGCAGCAGUGGAAAAUUGUGCACAAUGGGCGCACCCCUGAUGCCCCCGCGCCGUGUGUAAGAAAAGGGCUUUGGGGUUGUAAAGUUUUUUCCGGGGGGAAGAGGGCGGCGGGUUUAAUACCCGCCUCUUUUCGCUUCACCCGCAGAAGACACACCGGCAAUCCCCGUCCCAACCCGCGCGGAUAUACNGGGGGUGAACGCUUUAAUCGNUUAUAGUGGGUGUAGCGCACACACGCGCUGUCUGUUAUCUCAUAUGUGAUCUCCCCGGUCAUCCUGUGNAAACUGCAUUUGACUGUGACGCGCUUGAGUCGUGUAGAGGGGGGUAGUACUACGUGUGUAGCUGUGAUGUGCAGAGAUAUCUGGAAGAACAGGUGUGGAGAGCGCCGCCCCGUGCACAGACACAGACUCUCGUGUGCGAGCGCGUGGAGAGCACACGAUAAUAUAUACUGUGGUACUACACGCGUACAAUAUGUAGACUUGGGAU
rnacentral:rRNA from 1 species